UACGUAGGGGGCAAGCGUUGUCCGGAAUCAUUGGGCGUAAAGAGCGUGUAGGCGGUCCGGUAAGUCGGCUGUGAAAGUCCAGGGCUCAACCCUGGGAUGCCGGUCGAUACUGCCGGACUAGAGUUCGGAAGAGGCGAGUGGAAUUCCCGGUGUAGCGGUGAAAUGCGCAGAUAUCAGGAGGAACACCUAUGGCGAAGGCAGCUCGCUGGGACGUUACUGACGCUGAGACGCGAAAGCGUGGGGAGCAAACAGG
rnacentral:rRNA from 1 species